rnacentral:rRNA from 1 species
AUGAACGCUGGCGGCGUGCCUAAUACAUGCCAGUCGAGCGAACAGACGAGGAGCUUGCUCCUCUGACGUUAGCGGCGGACGGGUGAGUAACACGUGGAUAACCUACCUAUAAGACUGGGAUAACUUCGGGAAACCGGAGCUAAUACCGGAUAAUAUAUUGAACCGCAUGGUUCAAUAGUGAAAGACGGUUUUGCUAUCACUUAUAGAUGGAUCCGCGCCGCAUUAGCUAGUUGGUAAGGUAACGGCUUACCAAGGCGACGAUGCGUAGCCGAGCUGAGAGGGUGAUCGGCCACGCUAGAACUGAGACACGGUCCAGACUCCUACGGGAGGCAGCAGUAGGGAAUCUUCCGCAAUGGGCGAAAGCCUGACGGAGCAACGCCGCGUGAGUGAUGAAGGUCUUCGGAUCGUAAAACUCUGUUAUUAGGGAAGAACAAAUGUGUAAGUAACUAUGCACGUCUUGACGGUACCUAAUCAGAAAGCCACGGCUAACUACGUG